GACGAACGCUGGCGGCGUGCCUAAUACAUGCAAGUAGAACGCACAGUUUAUACCGUAGCUUGCUACACCAUAGCCUGUGAGUUGCGAACGGGUGAGUAACGCGUAGGUAACCUGCCUGGUAGCGGGGGAUAACUAUUGGAAACGAUAGCUAAUACCGCAUAAUAUUGAUUAUUGCAUGAUAAUUAAUUGAAAUGUGCAAUUGCACCACUACCAGAUGGCCCUGCGUUGUAUUAGCUAGUAGGCGAGGUAACGGCGCACCUAGGCGACGAUGCAUAUCCCACAGGCGUGGACGGGCGGCCACACUGGGAGGGCGACCCGGCCCAGACUCCGACGGGAAGCAGCAAGAGGGCAACUUCGGCAAUGGGCGAAAGUCUUAGCGAACAACGCGGCGGGAGUGAAGAAGGUUUUCGGGUCGUAAAGCACUGUUGUCAGAGAAGAAACCGUGUGCGACUGGAAAGUUCACACUGUGACGGUAACUUACCAGAAAGCGACGGCUAACUACGUG
rnacentral:rRNA from 1 species